UACAGAGGGUGCGAGCGUUGUUCGGAAUUAUUGGGCGUAAAGCGCACGUAGGCGGAUUGCUAAGUCAGGGGUGAAAUCCUGGAGCUCAACUCCAGAACUGCCUUUGAUACUGGCGAUCUCGAGUCCGGGAGAGGUGAGUGGAACUGCGAGUGUAGAGGUGAAAUUCGUAGAUAUUCGCAAGAACACCAGUGGCGAAGGCGGCUCACUGGCCCGGUACUGACGCUGAGGUGCGAAAGCGUGGGGAG
rnacentral:rRNA from 1 species